AGUGAUUCAACAGCAGCUCUCUGAGCAGUGAUCACUGUAACAUGUGUAACAUCAGCUCUAAUGAGACAGUCAAGUAGCUGCUUGGCAGGUUUAUGACCUGAGGGCUACAUGGACACCUUGGCGUGUGUGUAUGAGUGUGUGUGUAUAGACGUGUAUGUCUGUAAGUAUAACUAUAUUUACGUGUCUGUUUUUCUCUUUCAUGUGCAGCCUCAUUCUUUGGGAAUUACGAUACAAUCAAGGCGGAGGAAACCUGAGAGGAGGCGCCGACAGACCGCUCUCACCUGAGGAGGAGAGACAUCCAGGAAGCAUUCUAACUAACUAACUAACUAAAUUAAAAAACAAUACUAAUAAACAACUUCACCUAAAAUAAAACACAUUUGAAUUUCGAUUCAUAGAAAAAACGUAAGAAAGAGGUGUGAAAUAGUUUUAAAAACAUCAGAAGUUUUUCUAAAUUCAGUUUCAAAUCUGGUAAAAUAACGUGGAUACAGUAUCGUGUCGAUGAACCCAUAGCUAAAAGAAAUCUCAUAAUGGUUGUGUAUAAUUAAAUGGGUUCCUACUGGGCCCGUGCUACACCCCUCCACCAAAUUCCUGAAAAUUAAGCCAGUAGUUUUUCCCGUAAUCCUGCUGACAAACAGUCAGGCCAAACCAGAGCAAAACCAUGAGCUGCUCUGCGUAGGUAAUAAUUCAUGAGCAUGUGGAUUUACUCCUGACCAGAUAAUCUCUACUCAAAUGCCCACUUAGUAGCUGUUCUGACUGCAGCUCACAGGCACUAUCAGCAAAUAUCUCUUUCAUAUAGUAUCCCUAAAGAAAAGUGUAUUUUUAUUACAUCAAAUCCUGCAGGUGGACCACCGACAGGAGAUAAACGAUCCUUUGGGGUGAGGUAGUAGGUUGUAUAGUUUUAGGGUCAAUCCCGAGCUGUAAGAUGACUAUACAAUUUACUGUCUUUCCUGAAGCGACCGUGAAGGCAGCAUCAUCAUCAUCGUCAAAAAGGAAAAAUGGAAAUCUGUUUUUAUACAUAUACAAAUGUGGUGAUUAUCCCUAAAUGAUAAGACUUUUAAUAAGUAGAUAAUAGGAUGUAAACUAUGUAAUAAGGAAUAUGUACCUAAUGUUUUGUAUUUUACAAUUAGCAAUUAGCUAUUAGAUUUGAGUGUUUUUCUGAAAUAUAGAAGUUUUUUUGAGUUUUUAACAAUGUUUUUGUUUUUAAAAUGUAAAAUUAGGAGUCUGUUACUUUAAAUGUGGUCAUUAUCAAAGUCAAAGUCAACUUUAAUGUCAAUCUUUCCGUUUGUGUGUACAGACAGAGAGAUCGAAAUGAAGUUUUCAACAAUCCCGAAUACAAAAAUACAAUUAUACAAUACACAGAUAUGUAUAAAAUAUGUAUAUCCUAUAUACACACAAUCAAUAGACACAUUUACCCAUAUGCACACAUUAAGAUCAAAAACACAACAAUCAAUAUAUACAAAAUAACAGUCACUUCAAUAUCAAUAUCUUUGGGAAUGUACAUUAUAAUUUGAAAUGCAUGAACAAAAUACGUCCAUUAGCAGGACGUGUCAUUUGAAGUCAUCACUAACCUGGCUGUAUUUAUGUGAUAGCAACACAGGAGUCGUGUCUACGUUCACACGGUGACCAGGUGGGACUUAUGGUGUUCGUACAGGGUGAGGUAGUAGGUUGUGUGGUUUCAGGGUUGUGAUUUUACCCCAUCAGGAGAUAACUGUACAACCUACUGCCUUCCCUGGAGGGCAGCAGCACAUCCCAGCAGACCCUCGCUCACUGACAGAGAGCAGCCUUUGAUCCCUAAGGUCUCAGUGAACAGGUGAGUAGUGCCAGAUCACAAGAUGCACUUCAUAGCUACAUACGUUACUUAAACAACGUGUUUUAUCCUUGUACUGUUUCAUAAAUCAAUAAAGACUGGAUGAGAAAUACCAUACAAACUAA